rnacentral:rRNA from 1 species
UACCAAAACAUCCGCCCGAGAAUUACGAGCACAAACGCUUAAAACUCUAAGGACUUGGCGGUGCCCUAAACCCACCUAGAGGAGCCUGUUCUGUAAUCGAUAAUCCACGUUACACCCGACCGCCCCUUGCCAAAACAGCCUACAUACCGCCGUCGUCAGCCCACCUUCAUUGAAAGAACAAUAGUGGGCCUAAUAGCCCUCAAUACGCUAAUAAGACAGGUCGAGGUAUAGCCUAUGGAGCGGAAGAAAUGGGCUACAUUUUCUAAAAUAGAACACUUACGAAAAGAGGAUGUGAAAUCACCUCUGGAAGGCGGAUUUAGCAGUAAAG